UACGUAGGGUGCAAGCGUUAAUCGGAAUUACUGGGCGUAAAGCGUGCGCAGGCGGUUUUGUAAGUCUGUUGUGAAAUCCCCGGGCUUAACCUGGGAAUGGCAAUGGAGACUGCAAGGCUAGAGUUUGGCAGAGGGGGGUAGAAUUCCACGGUGUAGCAGUGAAAUGCGUAGAGAUGUGGAGGAACACCGAUGGCGGAAGGGCAGCCCCCCUGGGUCAAAACUGAACGCGCUCGAUGACACGAAAGCUGGGGAGCAAACAGGGAAUUAGAAACCCGUAGG
rnacentral:rRNA from 1 species